UGAAAUCAGUUCAUUUUGUUU
rnacentral:piRNA from 1 species